CGCCGCGUUUCAAUCUAGGGUAAAACCAGUGUUCUUUUACUGCAGACCUCAUGACGAUUAGGUCAUACUAUUGCUCUUUCAUCUUCUUCCUCACAGUAUGAACGUAUACAAUCACUGAAUAAUCCUCUUAAACCCCUCCAUUAAUCUAUCACCCACAAUCUCCAUUCAAUUCGAGUUCUGGUUAUGCACGGCAGUGAAGGUUCAUCUAUAAAAGGGGCGGGCCGUUCCUCUUCCACUGUUGAAGUCCGGUUGCUGCGUUUCUGGGAGGCCAGGAAUGUACGGUAUGGUGGAGAGUUAGGCUGAGUUGAUAUGCUCCUACUGGAUUCUCAUGUAUCUUAUUUAGCUCUGCCUUUUGUUCAGAGACAGAUUUGUUUCUCCAUGAGUCCUUUUUCAAAGUUUUUAGACACUUCUGCCGUUGUCAAUCCAUAUUACAAAGUUAUUUUCUAAAAAAGCUUUUGUUCAAUAUUUUUGACUGAUUGUUGUGUUUAUUUAGUGUAUGUUCAGACGACCAUGAUGGCGGCCGCCGUGAAUGUCAACCAACUUGCGACUCACAGGCCUAAUAUGAAAGCGGGUUCGGUUUAUUCCCUAACCGGGUUCGAUGUUACUCGAUGUAACCAGAAUUAUAUGCUAUCGGACUCUUCCCUGCCAAUCCGUUUUAGCAUCUCGACCUCUUUCAGUGAGCACCGAAUCCGCCAUUCCAAUAUCUGUUGAAUCUUUCCUGUUCCGUAAUCACAAUGAGAUGCUUGGUCUUGCCAACACAAACACUCAGCUUCUAGACCUUAUUGGUGAGAUAACUGCUCUGAAAAGAGUACUGUCACUGACCCUCCUCAUGACAAGAAUCAUUUUAUCACAAUCAUUAAGAUGGACAAUGACAUGUCUGUGACAAUGUGUCUCUACGACUCUCAGUCUGUUAAGCUCCACAAUUAACUAGAAAGGAUGCGAGGUGAUCCAAGGGUUGUGGUUGCAACCAGCGUCAUCCCCAAGAUGGUGGGAGUUAUGCAGGUUGGUCGCGCAAGACACUGGACUUGCACAAGCAGCUCCACUGCUAAGGGGCUUUGCUAAGGUGGAAUCUCUGAGAAUAGCGGAGCUCAAUGAUUUUGUCAUCACUGCUCCCUCUCAGACAUGUCAACCAGAAUUAAAAUAUUUUAGUACAGGAUGUGUAAGUUUCUGUGUGUAAUUCUGGUUCUCCGACAAUAUAGGAAAUUGAUUUUAUU